GGGCUCGCGUGGGCUUUGGGUCACAAUGUGGCGAUGGCUGACGCGGCGUCUUCCUCCGCAUCUCGCUGGUCUCCCGCCUGGUGAUGUCUUCUUGCUCGCGUUCACGCUUAUGCUUCGAUUUGGUCCAUCCGGUUCCUUCUACCGCGAUGGCGCCCUUGUCACUUGUACGCUCGUAAUGUCGGAUACGCUCGGCAUCCCAUCUUUGGUUGUUGCCGACCGCUUCCACGACAUCGUAUCGUCGUCACGCGGCGAUCCGCCAUUCAAGCCGCUGCUUCUACGCUGAUUGUUUCUUUGGACGUUUCCCCCACAAUACGUGGCAGCUCCCUUCACGGCCGCGUCAUUUGCUGGGGCCCCAUUUCGGGAGCCCGCAUGUGGACCAUGUGGACCCCUCCCAUCUCAACUCCUUCCUUGCUGUCUUCCUUGUUUCCUUGCUGCUUUUAGUCAAACUCCCCAAGUGGCAGAUUUAGGAAAGUGGGGCAGGGGGGUGGGGGGGGGGCAAGUGUGUGUUGCACGCUGGAGACAGCAGGUGCUCCAGUCCUACCAAAGAGAAAAAGAAAUGCAUUUGCAUUUCUAAUAAGGACCCCCCCACCCCCACCCCCGCCCCUCCUCACACACACUGUGUCCUCUCCUCCAUUUUAGGGGCGCAGCAAACUUCUAACAUGGCGACUGGGGAUGCCUUUUCAUGUCAUGGAAGGGCUUUGCUCCAAAGCAGAAAAUUCUCAUCCACCCCCCCCCCCCCCCCCGAAGCUAAAAGUAAGAUGGUGGCACCGAUCCGAGCAAAACUUUGUGAGCGACGAGUGCGGCCGCGCGGCUCCCGACAUCCGUGGCGUCGCAUGGGUCCCCUUGCGCUGGAAGGACCCGACCAGCCGGUGGCGCCGGCGACGCGAGCGGAUACCACAGAAGGAGGAGGAGGAAGGACGAUACGUCAGGACGGUCAGUCACCUUUCGUCCUCCUCUUGUGGAGCCUGAAAGAAAAAUGCAUUUCCUUUUUUAGUUUGACCUCAAUCUCCCCGCGUUCCGACCCAACCGCCUCACCCGCGCCCGGUGUCGGCCGCUCGUCGCGGAAGUCGCGUCACGGGACGGCGAGCUCUCAUGAGAGGCGCCCGUGCGGUCAUCGCCAUGGCAACUGGG